AUCGCUUCUCGGCCUUUUGGCUAAGAUCAAGUGUAGUAUCUGUUCUUAUCAGUUUAAUAUCUGAUACGUCCCCCAUCGGGGACUACAUAUUAAAUGGAUUUUUCGAACAGGGAGUCGGAAAUGGGGCUUGCUCCGUCCGCUCCACGCAUCGACCCGGUAUUGCAGUACCUCCGGGAACGGUGCAACACUU
ensembl:snRNA U2 U2 spliceosomal RNA